GGGGGUACAGCCCCUUUAAAAAAGGACACAACCUCCAUCAGGGGAUAACCCCACCACACACCCAACCCCGUGGGUCUUAAAGCAGCCACCCCCAAAGAUUGUGUCAAAGCUCCCCAACCAAAAACCCAAAAAACUAAUGCGACUCCCUACAUUCACAGCAAGCCAACCUAUAACAAUAGAUGAAUCAAUGCUAGAACGAGUAACCAGGACACCACGUUCCCCCAAGCGCCAGCCUACGCACCAUUAACAGCAAAACCCAAUAACAACCACCCCCAUUGCAUAUACCCUGUUAAUCCAACCCAGGAGCGCACAUUGGAGCGAUUAAAGUCUACAAAAGGAACUCGGCAAACCCAAGGCCCGACUGUUUACCAAAAACAUAGCCUUCAGCCAAACAAGUAUUGAA
rnacentral:rRNA from 1 species